rnacentral:rRNA from 1 species
GAUGAACGCUGGCGGCGUGCCUAAUACAUGCAAGUCGAGCGAACAGACGAGGAGCUUGCUCCUCUGACGUUAGCGGCGGACGGGUGAGUAGCACGUGGAUAACCUACCUAUAAGACUGGGAUAACUUCGGGAAACCGGAGCUAAUACCGGAUAAUAUAUUGAACCGCAUGGUUCAAUAGUGAAAGACGGUUUUGCUGUCACUUAUAGAUGGAUCCGCGCCGCAUUAGCUAGUUGGUAAGGUAACGGCUUACCAAGGCAACGAUGCGUAGCCGACCUGAGAGGGUGAUCGGCCACACUGGAACUGAGACACGGUCCAGACUCCUAAGGGAGGCAGCAGUAGGGAAUCUUACGCAAUGGGCGAAAGCCUGACGGAGCAACGCCGCGUGAGUGAUGAAGGUCUUCGGAUCGUAAAACUCUGUUAUUAGGGAAGAACAAAUGUGUAAGUAACUAUGCACGUCUUGACGGUACCUAAUCAGAAAGCCACGGCUAACUACGUG